CAAUGGUGUGAAGCUUAUUGUUCUACAUCAUGCAUAAUCCCUUUUUGAGUGCUCCACCAUUUGGGAGGUGUGGACAAUGGUGUUAAUCUCUAUAUUUUUGGUAUCUCUACUUACCAUUUUUAGUUACCUGGUUGAACUUGUUUAGAUUUCUUAAAACUUUUCUGCCGAGCUUUGUACUCAUGUCGUGCUCUCUACUUGCUACAAAAUGUAUGCUCGCAUGAUUUCUUAAAAUGGAACCGGGGUAGAAUCC
rnacentral:lncRNA from 1 species